rnacentral:rRNA from 1 species
ACACUGACGUCGCGACGCAUAUCAAUAAGCGGAGGAAAAGAAACUAACAAGGAUUCCCUUAGUAACGGCGAGUGAAGGCGGGAAGAGCUCAAAUUUGAAAUCUUCAAGGUUCUACCUUGACGAAUUGUAGUUUAAAGAAGUGUUUUCUGUUAGAUGAGUAGGCAAAAGUUCUUGGAAUAGGACAUCAUAGAGGGUGAGAAUCCCGUAUUUGGUUAUUCAUUCUAGCUUUGUGAUACACUUUCAAAGAGUCGGAUUGUUUGGGAAUGCAGUCCAAAAUGGGUGGUAAAUUUCAUCUAAAGCUAAAUAUUGGCGAGAGACCGAUAGCGAACAAGUACCGUGAGGGAAAGAUGAAAAGAACUUUGAAAAGAGAGUUAAACAGUACGUGAAAUUGUCAAAAGGGAAGCGUUUGACACCAGUGUUGUUUUUCCGAAAAUCAAUUACGAAUGGCUUGAUUUUGUGUUGUAUUGACCUUAUCAGCUUUCUGCACUUUUUUCGAGUCUUUCUUAAUGCACUUUUCGGUUAACAAGUCAACAUCAAUUUCUUUUGUUGUAAAAGAGUAUUCGGAAGGUGGCUUUCUUUUCGGAGAAAGUGUUUAUAGCCCUAUACUUCUACAAUCGGAGAGAUUGAGGUCUGCAGCGUAGAUCCUUCGGGGUUAGAUACACUUGUGCUAAGUUAUAGCUUUUCAUAGACAACUUGUUGACUAUGUUUAGUCUUGUAGCUUACUCGCUUGUGCUAUUUUACCUACGCUUAGGAUGUUGAGUCGUAGAGCACGCAG